rnacentral:tRNA from 1 species
CCGGCUAUGGUGUAAUGGAUAGCAUUGGAGGCUUCGAACCUCUCGAUCUCGGUUCGAUUCCGAGUAGCCGGGCCA